CUUGCUCCGGCCCAAGCCGGCGGGGACAAACCCGAGCUGCGGGAUUUCGCUUGGAGAACUACCCGACGCGCCUAGGUUCGGCAUGGCGUGCCUGGACGUGGAAAAUGGGAUUCAGCAGAGCAAGUGAGGAUGGACACCACAGUCAUUUUAGUUCACUGAGGAAGCUCAGCACUGCUUUGUGGAACUCCUGAGGCUUAUCAAGAUAGCAGGCGUGGCCAGCUCCCAACAACAUGACAACUUUGGAUUUGGGAAUCUGCUGAAGACUUUCCAGAGACUGUAUACCCAGGCAAAUCAAUAGCUACUGCACGAUAGCCAUUCUCUGCAAGCAAAGCCAGUGUUCCUAGAGUCUCCCAUGUCUUGGAUGAGAAGGACUGGCCAUGCAAGAAGACCACUGCCAGCCUGUUAAGAAAAAGAACUAGCAGCUGAUGUCAUCUUUUUUACUAUUCUGAUAUGAGCAAUGUGUUAAAAAAAUACUUAAAUUCCAAAAUAUUUUAUUUUUAUAGUAAAACAAAAUUCCUAAACUAAUCUCAAAAAAGGAAAAGAAAAAAAGUGGCCCCUUUGAACAGGAAAAUUAAGAGAAUUGGGGAAUUUUUUUAGCACCACAAUAAUACUUGCCUGAAGUAUGGUUAGGAAAAGUUAUCUGGCCAUG